rnacentral:rRNA from 1 species
AUUGAACGCUGGCGGCAGGCCUAACACAUGCAAGUCGAACGAGUGGCGGACGGGUGAGUAAUGUCUGGGAAACUGCCCGAUGGAGGGGGAUAACUACUGGAAACGGUAGCUAAUACCGCAUACCAUCGGAUGUGCCCAGAUGGGAUUAGCUAGUAGGUGGGGUAACGGCUCACCUAGGCGACGAUCCCUAGCUGGUCUGAGAGGAUGACCAGCCACACUGGAACUGAGACACGGUCCAGACACUUACGGGAGGCAGCAGUGGUGAAUAUUGCACAAUGGGCGCAAGCCUGAUGCAGCCAUGCCGCGUGUAUGAAGAAGGCCGUCGGGUGGUAAAGUACUUUCAGCGAGGAGGCGUUACUCGCAGAAGAAGCACCGGCUAACUCCGAGCCAGCCGCCGCGGUAAUAC